GACGAACGCUGGCGGCGUGCCUAAUACAUGCAAGUCGAGCGGACGAAUCGAAAGCUUGCUUUUGAUUCGUUAGCGGCGGACGGGUGAGUAACACGUGGGCAACCUGCCCUGUAGACGGGGAUAACACCGAGAAAUCGGUGCUAAUACCGGAUAACACGAAAUGUCGCAUGACGUUUCGUUGAAAGACGGCGCAAGCUGUCGCUACAGGAUGGGCCCGCGGCGCAUUAGCUAGUUGGUGAGGUAACGGCUCACCAAGGCGACGAUGCGUAGCCGACCUGAGAGGGUGAUCGGCCACACUGGGACUGAGACACGGCCCAGACUCCUACGGGAGGCAGCAGUAGGGAAUCUUCCGCAAUGGACGAAAGUCUGACGGAGCAACGCCGCGUGAGCGAAGAAGGCCUUCGGGUCGUAAAGCUCUGUUGUUAGGGAAGAGCAAGUAACGCAGUAACUGGCGUUACCGUGACGGUACCUAACGAGAAAGCCACGGCUAACUACGUGCCAGCAGCCGCGGUAAUACGUAGGUGGCAAGCGUUGUCCGGAAUUAUUGGGCGUAAAGCGCGCGCAGGCGGUUCCUUAAGUCUGAUGUGAAAGCCCACGGCUCAACCGUGGAGGGUCAUUGGAAACUGGGGGACUUGAGUGCAGAAGAGGAGAGCGGAAUUCCACGUGUAGCGGUGAAAUGCGUAGAGAUGUGGAGGAACACCAGUGGCGAAGGCGGCUCUCUGGUCUGUAACUGACGCUGAGGCGCGAAAGCGUGGGGAGCAAACAG
rnacentral:rRNA from 1 species